rnacentral:rRNA from 1 species
AUUGAACGCUGGCGGCAUGCUUUACACAUGCCAGUCGAACGGUAACAGGCCGCAAGGUGCUGACGAGUGGCGCACGGGUGAGUAAUGCAUCGGAACGUGCCCAGUCGUGGGGGAUAACUACUCGAAAGAGUAGCUAAUACCGCAUACGAUCUAUGGAUGAAAGCGGGGGACCGUAAGGCCUCGCGCGAUUGGAGCGGCCGAUGUCAGAUUAGGUAGUUGGUGGGGUAAAGGCUCACCAAGCCAACGAUCUGUAGCUGGUCUGAGAGGACGACCAGCCACACUGGGACUGAGACACGGCCCAGACUCCUACGGGAGGCAGCAGUGGGGAAUUUUGGACAAUGGGCGCAAGCCUGAUCCAGCAAUGCCGCGUGCAGGAAGAAGGCCUUCGGGUUGUAAACUGCUUUUGUACGGAACGAAACGGCUCUGGUUAAUACCCGGGGCUAAUGACGGUACCGUAAGAAUAAGCACCGGCUAACUACGU